UACGUAGGGGGCAAGCGUUGUCCGGAUUUAUUGGGCGUAAGGAGCGUGUAGGCGGCUUUACAGGUCCGUUGUGAAAACUCGAGGCUCAACCUCGAGACGCCGGUGGAAACCGUAAAGCUAGAGUCCGGAAGAGGAGAGUGGAAUUCCUGGUGUAGCGGUGAAAUGCGCAGAUAUCAGGAGGAACACCCGUGGCGAAAGCGGCUCUCUGGGACGGUACUGACGCUGAGACGCGAAAGCGUGGGGAGCAAACAGG
rnacentral:rRNA from 1 species